CAGUCUUCAGGAAUUUUAUCAAUGCAUUGGCAUGAGAUUCAGAGGAUAACAGCAAGGAUAACAUCGAGAUCUUGGACGGAGUAUGCCCCAACUGUUCUACAACAUCAAAAUCACUCUUGCGAAUGAUUUUCAGCACUUCUUCCAUUUCUUGUUUGGCAACAUCUUCGGGAGUAACUUCGACCGGUGUCUCUGACUGAGAAGGAUUGAC
rnacentral:lncRNA from 1 species